AGCAGCCUCACAGGAGAAAAACUUGCUCCAGAGCCUGCUGACCACCAGAUCUCAGCUCAGGAGACUAAACCGGUUCAAACAGCCUGGGAAGCUUUAAAACCAUCAACGUGUGCCAGGCAACUCUAGGAGCCAAAUCUAACAUCGUCCUGAAACUGAAUGACACAAAAGUUAGGAAAGGACUUUGUAUCAUAUUUGAGACCACUGCCAUUGAGAGCACAGAGCAUCACUGUAGACAUCAGAGAUGAUGCUGUCCAUUCACCUACUAACAGAAAGCUGUAGACAAGAGACUGUGGUUUCCUACGACAGAAUGGGUAUCUAAAGCCACAGAAACAAUGAUGUUAAGGCAUCCACUCCAGAGACCUACUUACACAAUAAGAAUGAAGUUGGCAGCUGGGAUGCAACUAAAUUACUUUUAGGAUUUGAAGAUACAUGCGUACCUCAUUUUUGAAUCAAACACAAUGCAUGAAAAUCUGGCAAAACCAAACAACAAAACAGAGGAGUAUUUUUUGUUGUUAUUUAAUGAAAGGUUUUGGCCUUCUAAGUGGUCCAAAAAGGUCUCCUAAAAUACAAAGCUGCUUUUGAGUGUAUUAAACAUAAAUUACUUAUAGAAACUGUGAUUUGCUCUGAGUGUUCCAGGCUGACAACUCUUGUACACAGUGAGAGAAGACCUCCGAGGGCCACUUUGGGCCUGGUGGUUGUGGGAAGUCAUGUGGGAUAGCUUUUCCUCUCUGCUUUCUCUCUUCUGAAUGACAGCAGCAUGGACCUUUGGCUUCAUUUAUCCUAAAAUAUUUAAAUCAAAUUAUAAAGCUAAUGUAUUAAAAAUGAGAAAUAAAUUUAAACCAGAUUGCUCUGACUGCUGUGACUUAUUAGCCCAGUUGGUCUUUUGUCUGUGCCUAGUUAGCCCGGUGGGUGAGAACACAGUGCUAAUGAUGCCAAGAUCAAGGGUUUAAUUCCCCCUGGUCUACUGAGCUUUGUUCCAUUCCAUGGCUAGAACUGUGCCCAUACCCAGGCCAGACUGACUGUGAAUGUGGUCCGCUCCUCGGAGGCUAGCAGAGAGAAUAUAGUUAGAUGAGCACCAAUCUGCCUUUACUCCAGGAAAAUGAACAAACCGUGAACUCAAGGUGCCUGUGGAAUUAAUGAUCUGUCAUUAUCUUCCACGAGGACCCAUGACCCUAUUUCAUGGUUAAGUAUGUACCUUUGACUGAUUUUUUAAAACAGGCUAAGAAGUGUCUUAACUUCAUCUCAUCUCACUGUUGCCCAACUUAGAUUCCUCUAUUAUUAGAUCUCUAUAAAAUAUAUUAUACCGUGAGUACUAUGAAAUCCUAUAAUUCCAGCUAGAAUCACUAAAAAAACCCAACAAACUCUACAGACAAAGUGUGCUGGCUGUUUCAGGAACAUAUUCUGUCAGUGAACAGAGGCCCUGAGAGAGCCUCUCAUGAGUGAGAAGCCUGUGAAGCAGGUACUGCCAUUUGAUAUGUGUCUCUGUUUGGUCAGCCAGAGAUACUUAAAAUCUCACUUUUUAUUAAAUAAACCAAAUUAUGAGAAUUAAAAAUGCCUCAUUAUUAAUUGAAAAUUCAUAAAUAAAGGUGAAACUUUAUCCUCAGAGUCUUUAAAUGAGGUCCUCAGCUGGUAACUAGCCCUUUGUGUUCUGACCUAAAAUCAUAAGACCAGUAAAUAAGUUAAGAGAGGGGUUACUUUAUGAGAUGUUGAAAAUCAUCAGGAAAAAUAAUACCACCUUGAAUCAGAGUACAAAUAAUAACUGGAGGAAGCAUUGCCUAAGAAAUUUUUGCAUCGAUGUUUUUGAAACACUCAACAGAGAGAACAUGCUGACUGUUACAAGAUUAACUGUUAAAUCUUACCAGGCUGAAGAUAAUAAAAUGAUGCAAAACAUAACAGGCAGUGUCACGGGAAAUGCUUACAGGUCCUGUGACCUGGAUUGCUCUUGAAUUCACAGGCCUGGGUAGUUGGCUUGUGCAUUUUUAGAUCGGAACUAUUAAGACCCCCAAAUUAUGCUUUAAAAAAGGUUUUUAAUUGUUUUCUGAUAGGUCUUGUUCUAGGUUUUUGUCUAUUCCACAAUAAGUAAGUAGGUAGGUUUAUAACACUUUGAAGUUCAGCAUAGGUCAGAUUCUGCCCUAUGAGCUUCAUAUGCAUAUCUUGCAUGCUUGCUAUCCUGUCCACUUGCCUACUCUGGCUGCUCUCCUGCAGCCAUAAUCCCUGCUUCCUGAAACUAAGGCCAUAUUUCUGGCAACAUCAAAUGCCAUUCAGUUUUUAAUAGAUUAUGAAAGGAAGCAAAAAAAGAGAAAAAAAUGAUACAGAAAAGUACUUCUGUGAAAAAAGUUUUCAGUGCUACCCCCAGGGAAAAUUUUGAAGCUGCUCCUAUGUCCCUUGCAAUGAAUGAAUUUUUCCACUGGACUUGGGAGAUUUUAGAAGGUCCCUAUAGACUUCUCUCCAAACCAGUUCUUAAAGCUAAGAACCCAGGCUCAGCAGGAAUUUUAAUUAAAUUGACACAUUAAACAAUAAUUGAUGUAGGAAGUUUUCUCUGAGGCUUGUCAAUUAUUUAGUGAAUCUAUCUUCUUGCCUUCUUCACACAAACACCUGAAGUUAAAUAUAUACAUAGACAAUUUCAUUAGACUUAGUGCCCACUUAUUGUUGGUAAUAUGGUAUAAUAAUAAUUUGUUUAAAACACAAGUGUUUUGGAAUCAGACCUAGGGCCAAAUCCUGGCUCAGUCACUCACUAGCUAAGUGAUUUUUAAAAUAUUUAGUGUCUCUGUCCUUCACCUUUUUUGUAUCUACAAUGAUGAUAGCAAACCACUUCAUAGGAUUAUUGUGAGAAUUAAAUGAGUGGGAGAAAAACAAUCUUAACAUAAAUGCAGAUCCUCAUAAAAUGUGAGUUCCUAUCAUCUUAUCCUUGAAAGCACAAAAAUCAUAAACAACUAAUCUAUAUAAACAUCAUUCAUUAUUUUUCAUCUAUUUAUAACAGCAUAUAAUUUAACUCAUCUAACAAGUCUAGUUGAACCCCAAAGGAAAUUAUCCCUCAAUAAAAUACAAAAUUAUUACCUUAUUCAAUAAAUAUUUGAUGAAAACAUACCUAUUAGGUGCUAUUAAGUGAAUAAAAUAUACAUGGCUUAUGCCUUUUUGGAUCACAAUGGGGAGAUAUGAAAAAAAGUUAAGAAAAAACCUGUAUUUCAAAAUACGGUGAAUACUAGGAAGGGGGACAGUGAGUAGGCUGUUAUUGGACAAAAUAGUGGGAGUAGGGAAUAUGUUUUUAAAUUGGGAAAUAUUUUUGAGGAAGCAUAUUUAAGCUAAGACUGAGAAGGCAACUAGGUCAUGUGUGUGGGGAAAGAAUUUUCCAAAUAAAUAGUGCAUGCAAAGACUGAAGGAGGGUUCAUUGUACUAAGCACAUGAAUGGAUAACAUGUGCUAAAAGUUGAAAGUUGCAGAGUGGACAGGAGGAAAUGGGUAGGAGACUGUGGAGGUAAGCUGGCAGAGGCAGAGAGAGAAGAGAAAUGAGAGAGAGAGAGAGAGAGAGAGAGAGA